GUGUUUGCUGCUCCAUCAGCAGCAAUAUUAUCCCCAUCACCCCCAGGACCACUUCUAGCAGGUUCUUCCGUAACAGUCAUGUGCUCAGCAGCAGGUUCUUCCUUGACAGUCAUGUGCUCAGCAGCAGGUUCUUCCUUAACAGUCUUGUGCUUGGCAGCCGAAGAAUUUUUUAGUAAUUUGUUGACCAUAAAUUCCAUGGUACUGCGCCGGAUAACAUUGCAGUCCCACAUCUCACUAGGUGCGGCAUAAAAAGAGAAAUCAAUAGGCUUAUUAUUUUUACGCAUCCACGAACAC
rnacentral:lncRNA from 1 species